UAACCAGCUCGUUCGGUUUCGAUCGUUGGAUCUAUAUAGCAUCGAGCGAAUACUUAAUAAUUACGUCGGCGUAAAACGCUCGACGAGCGGCGGAGACUCGGCCAGUCGUUCGAUACCUGCUCGCAGGUGCUCGUUCGGCGCGAGGUCGUUUCCCGAUGUCGCCGUCGACGCUACCGACGUUUAGGCGUCCGCGGCGUCCGAGUCGGCCACCCGUCCGACCCGUCUUGAAACACGGACCAAGGAGUCUAACGUACGCGCGAGUUAAUGGGCGGAAAACCCAUAAGCGUAAUAAAAGUAAAAGUCGUCCCAAGACGGCCGAGGUACGAUCCUAGACUACGCGUCUAGGCGCAGUACCGUCCCGUCCCGACCGCACGUCGGUAGGGCGGAGAUUGAGCGCAUACGUUGGGACCCGAAAGAUGGUGAACUAUGCCUGAGCAGAGCGAAGCCAGAGGAAACUCUGGUGGAGG
rnacentral:rRNA from 1 species